rnacentral:rRNA from 1 species
CCUACGGGCGGCAGCAGUGGGGAAUAUUGCACAAUGGGCGCAAGCCUGAUGCAGCCAUGCCGCGUGUGUGAAGAAGGCCUUCGGGUUGUAAAGCUCUUUCAGCGGGGAGGAAGGCGUUAAGGUUAAUAACCUUGGCGAUUGACGUUACCCGCAGAAGAAGCACCGGCUAACUCCGUGCCAGCAGCCGCGGUAAUACGGAGGGUGCAAGCGUUAAUCGGAAUUACUGGGCGUAAAGCGCACGCAGGCGGUCUGUCAAGUCGGAUGUGAAAUCCCCGGGCUCAACCUGGGAACUGCAUUCGAAACUGGCAGGCUAGAGUCUUGUAGAGGGGGGUAGAAUCCCAGGUGUAGCGGUGAAAUGCGUAGAGAUCUGGAGGAAUACCGGUGGCGAAGGCGGCCCCCUGGACAAAGACUGACGCUCAGGUGCGAAAGCGUGGGGAGCAAACAGGAUUAGAUACCCGAGUAGUC